UGAAUACGAGAUGCUACGGCGUCGAAGCAGUCUAUGUCAUACUUCCAAGAAAAGCUUGCACUGUCAUAAACAAAUAAUGCCUGUACCAUAACCGACACAGGUGGGUAGGUAGAGUAUACUAAGGGGCGCGAGAUAACUCUCUCUAAGGAACUCGGCAAAAUGACUCCGUAACUUCGGGAGAAGGAGUGCCUUAUUUAUAAGGUUGCAAUAACAAGACCCAGGCAACUGUUUAUCAAAAACACAGGUCUCCGCUAAGUCGUAAGACGAUGUAUGGGGGCUGACGCCUGCCCAGUGCCAGAAGGUUAAAGAAGUUGGUUAGCAUUAGCGAAGCUGAUGACUGAAGCCCUGGUGAACGGCGGCCGUAACAAUAACGGUCCUAAGGUAGCGAAAUUCCUUGUCGGGUAAGUUCCGACCCGCACGAAAGGCGUAAUGAUUUGGGUACUGUCUCAGAGAGGGACUCGGUGAAAUAGACUUGUCUGUGAAGAUGCGGACUACCUGCACCUGGACAGAAAGACCCUAUGAAGCUUUACUGUAACCUGAAAUUGAAAUUGGACUUUAUUUGCGCAGUAUAGGUGGGAGGCUUUGAAGAUAUUCUUGCGGGAAUGUUGGAGCCAUCAGUGAGAUACCACUCUUGUAAUGUUAGAUUUCUAACUUUGUAUCAUUAUCUGGUCAAAGAACAGUUUCAGGCGGGCAGUUUGACUGGGGCGGUCGCCUCCUAAACGGUAACGGAGGCGCACAAAGGUUUCCUCUGAACGGGUAGAAAUCGUAUCUAGAGUGUAAAGGCAUAAGGAAGCUUGACUGUGAGACCUACAAGUCGAGCAGGGACGAAAGUCGGUCUUAGUGAUCUGACGGUGCUGAGUGGAAAGGCCGUCACUCAACGGAUAAAAGUUACUCUAAGGAUAACAGGCUGAUCUCCCCCAAGAGUUCACAUCGACGGGGAGGUUUGGCACCUCGAUGUCGGCUCAUCGCAUCCUGGGGCGGUAGUACGUCCCAAGGGUUGGGCUGUUCGCCCAUGAAAGCGGUACGCGAGCUGGGUUCAGAACGUCGUGAGACAGUUCGGUCCAUAUCCGGUGUAGGCGUUAGAAUAUUGAGAGGAGCCUUCUCUAGUACGAGAGGACCGAGAAGGACACACCUCUGGUGUACCAGUUAUCGUGCCAACGGUAAACGCUGGGUAGCUAUGUGUGGAGCGGAUAACCGCUGAAAGCAUCUAAGUGGGAAGCCCACCUCAAGAUAAGUAUUCUCAC
rnacentral:rRNA from 1 species